rnacentral:lncRNA from 1 species
AGGCACGGUGGCUUACACCUGUAAUCCCAGCACUUUAGGAGGCUGAGGCAUGUGGAUCUCUUGAGCUCAGGAGUUCGAGACUAGCCUGAACAACUUAGGGAGACUUCUUCUCUAAAAAAAAAAAAAUUAACUAGCCAGGUGUGGUGGUGCACACGUGUAGUUCCAUCUACUUGGGAGGCUGAGGAGGGAGGAUCCCUUGAGCCUCGGGGAUGGAGUGAACCAAGAUUGCACCACUGCACUCCAGCCUGGGUGACAGAGUGAGACACUGUCCAAAAAAAAAAAAAAAAAGAAAGAAAGAAAGAAAGAAAAAGAAAGAAGAAAGGAAAAAAUAAAAGAGGAACAGAGAGUGUGGUGCCCAGUGCUUCUGGGUCCAGUGGAGUAGGAAGGUCCCUGACUGCUGAAGGAGCUCACAGUGAUGUUUGUUGAGCGUUUCUAUGUGCAGAGCACUGGACCAGGCACAACCUGUGCAAUUCACCUAACCCCCUUCCUAGGAAGGGCCUUGUGACAGAGGCUCUGGGACUUUUCACAUCUUACACAUGAAGAAACUGAACGGCACAGAGGUUCUGGUGAGUCUCACCCCUGGCUGCACUUUAUUUUUAUUUAUUUUAUUUUAGAGAUGGGGUCUUGCUCUGUCACCCAGGCUGGAGUGCAGUGGCACAAUCAUAGCUCACCGUUAACCUCCAACUCCUGGGCUCAAGUGACCCUCUCACCUCAGCCUCCCGAGUAGCUGGGACCACAGGUGUGUGCCACCAGGCCCAGCUAAUUUUUGUAUUUUUUUUGUAGAGAUGGGUCCUUACUAUGUUGCCCAGGCUUGUCUCAAACUCCUAGCCUCAAGCAGUCCUCCCUCCUGGGCCACCUAAAGUGCUGGGAUGACAGGCAUGGGCCACCACACCAGGUCCCUGACGGCGCUUUAGAAUCCCCUGGUGUGUUUGUCAGCACAGGGUACAUUCUGCAACCAUAACAAAUAAGCCCUAGCCCUUGGGGGCUUUACUCUAAGAUUUUAUCACUUGCUCACAAAAAUAAAACCGGCUCACAUCAGACAACCGUGGAAUACUGUGAAAUAUACUGGGUCUUUGUCCCCUGUUCUGGGCAUAGAACACCUAAAACCCUUGGAAUUUCCAGAGUCAUGGGAUUGUCUUUUGUGAUUCAUACGUGCCCUUUUGAUCACAGCUGAGUUUAUGCUAAUGAGAUAAAUUAGGGUAGGGCCCCCAAAUAACCUCAGAUUGGGGAGGGUUUGCAGUCACCAGAAAGACCAAAGGACUCCAGGGCUGGAACUUUCAACACCUCCUGCUAACCUCCAGGAAGGAGGGACGUGGUGACUAGAGAUUAACCUCUUUGAAAACUUUUUUUUGGCGUGAGCCACUGCCCUCAGCACUAAAAAACCUCUUGAACAACUAGAUCUGAUGAGCUUCCAGGAUGCUGAACAGGUGGAGAUGCUGGGCAGGUGGCAUGUUCAGAAAGGGGAUGGAAGCUCCGUCCCAGCCCCACCCCAGCACACCCUGCCCUGUGCAUCUCUUCCAUGUGCCUGUUCCUGAGUUUGUGUCCUUUCUAAUAAAUCGGUGAAGUGUUUCCAAGUUCUGUGAGCUGCUCUAGCAAAUAACGGACCGUUAGGAGAGUGUCGUGAGAACCCCCAACUGACAGGCAAUGGGUUAGAAGUGCUGGAGGCCUGAGCUUGGACUUGGGAUUGACAUCCGAACUGGAGGCAGUCUGUGGGACUGGGCGCUUAACCUGUGGGGUCUGUGCCAACACCAGGUCGACAGAGGCAGCAUUGGAUUACAUUGCAGGACUGCCCAGCUGGUAUUUGGAGAACUGCUUGGUGUGGAAAAAAACACCCACAUCUGGUGUCAGAAGUAGAAAAACACAGUGUGUUUUCCCCCAGUUGGUGUCAGAAUUGUGAAAGGAAAAUAAAAUCUGGAGACCCCAAACCUGCUAUGCCAAAGGGAAGGGCUAAGCUGGGAAGCCAAGUGACACAAAUCCUGCCUUUCCUUUUGUUCCUAAACACAGAGCAACAAGAUAAGAGGCCACCCGUGAAGAGAGGCCACCCUGACAAUGUCAAUUAACAGCUUAUCUUCACAGGCAUGGAACAAGAGGAGACUAGAAAUGGUUCCCACUGGCCGGGCGCAGUGGCUCACGCCUGUAAUCCCAGCACUUUGGGAGGCUGAGGCAGGCAGAUCACCUGAGGUUGGAGUUCGAAACCAGCCUGACUAACAUGGAGAAACCCCAUCUCUACUAAAAGUACAAAAUUAGCCAGGCGUGGUGGCACAUGCCUGUAAUCCCAGCUACUCAGGAGGCUGAGGCAGAAGAAUCGCUUGAACCCGGGAGGCAGAGGUUGCGGUGAGUCGAGAUUGGAAAGAAAGAGAGAGAGAGAGAGGGAGGGAGGAGGGGAGGAAGGGAAGGGAAGGAAAGAAAGGAAAGAAGGAAGGAAGGAAGGAAAGAAAGAAAAGAUACCUGCCAUCACCACCCACCUCAAUGCAUAUUUGACUUCUUUCUCAUAAAAAUGUAGUUUUAUUGAGCUCGAGAAGAAUACAUAAUGGACUGUUCCUCUGCCUCCUUUUCACAUGCAACGUGUGGAUUCAGUAGGUUUAACCAAGACCUCAAAACAAUGUGACUGUACCCUCCCUCUUUUUUUGUUUUGUUUUGUUUCGUUUUGUUUCGUUUCAUUUUGUUUCUGAGAUGGUGGCUCUGUGGGCCAGGCUGGAGGGCCAUGGCAUGAUCUUGGCUCACUGCAAGCUCCACCUCCCAGGUUCAAGCUAUUCUCCUGCCUCAGCCUCCUGAGGAGCUGGGACUACAGGUGCCCACCACCACACCCAGCUAAUUUUUGUAUUUUUAGUAGAAAUGGGGCUUCACCAUGUUGGCCAGGCUGGUGUCAAACUCCCAACCUCAAAUGAUCUGCCCACCUUGGCCUCCCAAAGUGUUGGGAUUACAGACAUGAGCCACCGUGCCCAGCCCUGCCCUUUUUCUUUUUAAUUUUUUUAAUUUUUUUUUUGUAGAGACAGGGUUUUGUUAUGUUGCCCAGGUCGGUCUUGAACUCCUGGCCUCAAGCAGUCCUCCCACCUCAGCCUUCCAAAGUGUUGGAAUUACAGGCGUGAGCCACCACACCCAGCCUUAUAGCUCACAUUUUGAUGAAAAGAGCCACAUUCCACCUCAUUUUAAAGCCAGAGCCCCACCCCAAAGUGAACAUGGAAUGUAUGUUACAUGCAUGUUUACCCAUCGCACGUGCACUCAACCCCCAUUAUGAACAAAUAUAGCUUUUCCUCCAAACCUGCUGAAUACGUGUGACUCUGCUGUGUGAUACGGGCCCUGUGAGUCAUCAACCUCACCUGCCCUUUCCCUCUUGGAAGACAGCAAACCUUCAGUCCACACCGGAGAUGACCUCUCCCUGAUUUGCAAGCUGAAAUCACCAGUCCAGCUCUUUCUACUAUCUGGCCAUCCUGGUGGCCUUUUGGACGACAGGCUGCUAGCCUCAGAGCUGACUCCCAAGGGCAAAAUGACGCAGGAAUAACAGAAAGUGCCUCUGAGAACUCUGGUCACCAACAAGGUGGUCCACAGCAGGGAGGACAGAACCAAGCGACUGCCAAAGCCAGGCCGUGGAGUGUGACGGAAGGGUUUCAUUUUGUAGCUCCAUGUUUUCUGCUUCCUGGGGCGCCUUUAGGAAAAUGGAUUCUGGCAGUAGCUGAUUUAGGAUCAGUGUCUUCAGUUUUAAAUGCUGCAGGGUGGAAGAGUGUGUUUGGGUUGACACAGCACCCGCAGCUCACCAUGGGACAAUCACGGGGAGCUGUCCCUGAUUCAGACACGCAGGAGGUGACUCCCAAGGGGACAGCUGGACUGCUGGACUGGGUAAAAGUCACUGUAGGGUCUGUGUACCCUGAGAAAGGUCCCUGUUCCUUUCCUCGUCUACAUGCCAAGUCAAAUGUCUCAGACGGAGCAGCUCAUCAGAUUUGAACACAAGCCAUUUGAUGUUGGCUUUGUGAUGAACAGAAUGUGUUUCUACUGGACAUGCCCAUUACCCAGGUCAUGGAAAACGCUGUGUGUAAGGGUGCUUGUUUGUUUGUUUUGUUUUGUUUUGUUUUGUUUUGUUUGAGACAGAGUCUCUCUCUGUUGCCCAGGCUAGAGUGCAGUGGCAUGAUCUCAGCUCACUGCAACCUCUGCCUCCCGGGUUCUAGCGAUUCUCCUGCCUCAGCCUCCUGAGUAGCUGGGACUACAGGCACACACCACCAUGCCCAGCUAAUUUUUGUAUUUGUAGUAGAGAUAGGGUUUAAUCAUAUUGCCCAGGCUGGUCUCAAACUCCUAGACUCAGGCAAUCCUCUCACUAUGGCCUCCCAAAGUGCUGGGAUUACAGGCAUGAGCCAUCACACCCAGUCUACCUGGGACUUUGGACUAGAAAAUUUCCAUUGGAGGGGCAUUUACUAACUUGCUGUUAGACAUUAAUUGAAGCUACCUCAUGACUGAAGGACAUAAAAUAAUCUUGAAACCUGAAAUACCUACAAUACCUUGGGUGACAUCACAGAAACCCUCUAAUGGAGAUGACAGCGCCAAGAAAAGUUCCGUAACAACACGAAAAUGGUUCAUAUAGGAUGGUGAACCAUCCUAUAUGAAGGCAAGGAUGGGGACUCCUUGCUGGGGAAGGCAAGGAGGAGACUCACAAGCAGGGAGAAUCCCCUGGGACUGACUCUGGAACUGUGUGAGGAGCUGCUGGAUGUUUUUUUUAACUUUUAUUUUAGGUUCAGGGAUACAUGUGAAGGUUUGUUACAUAGAUAAACUCAUGUCGCAGGGGUUUGUUGUACAGAUUUUUUUUUUUUUUGAGACAGAGUCUCGUUCUAUCCCCCAGGCCAGAGUUCAGUGGCAUGAUCUUGGUUCACUGCAACCUCUGCCUCCUAGGUUCAAGUGAUUCUCCUGCCUCAGCCUCCCAGGUAGCUGGAAUUACAGGCACCUGUCACCGCGCCCAGCUAAUUUUUGUAUUUUUAGUAGAGAUGGGGUCUUGUCAUGUUGGCCAGACUGGUCUUGAACUCCUGACCUCAGGUGAUCCUCCCACCUCCGCCUCUCAAAGUGCUGGGAUUACAGGCUUGAGCCACCACAUCCGGCCUGUUGUACAGAUUAUUUUAUCACCCAGGU